GCUAGCGGGAGGCUUAACACAUGCAAGUCGCGGGGUAACAUGGUCUUCGGACUGAUGACGACCGGCGCACGGGUGCGUAACGCGUAUGCAACCUGCCUUAUACAGGAGGAUAGCCCAUGGAAACGUGGAUUAAUACUCCAUAGUAUUAUUUUACUGCAUGGUAAAAUACUUAAAACUACGGUGGUAUAAGAUGGGCAUGCGUCUGAUUAGCUAGUUGGUGGGGUAACGGCCCACCAAGGCGACGAUCAGUAGGGGUUCUGAGAGGAUUAUCCCCCACACUGGGACUGAGACACGGCCCAGACUCCUACGGGAGGCAGCAGUGAGGAAUAUUGGUCAAUGGGCGCGAGCCUGAACCAGCCAUCCCGCGUGCAGGAUGACGGCCCUAUGGGUUGUAAACUGCUUUUCUAUGCCAAGAAACCCACCUACGCGUAGGUGGUUGCCGGUAGCAUAGGAAUAAGCAUCGGCUAACUCCGUGCCAGCAGCCGCGGUAAUACGGAGGAUGCAAGCGUUAUCCGGAUUUAUUGGGUUUAAAGGGUGCGCAGGCGGGUUUGUAAGUCA
rnacentral:rRNA from 1 species